GUUGCUAUGGGCAAAAAGGCUUUCACAACAAAACACUCCCUUUAAAUGUCGAAGCUGAGUCACUUAAGUUUCAACAACAAGUUCAGUCCGAGUCCUCCAACGUUUAAAUCGAAUGCAGCACAACUCAAAUACAGCAAGUUGAGUCUUAAAUCUGCAGCGCUUCAAGUUCAGGUGAGACGAAACGGCUGGUUCAUCAGGUAAAAAUCAACCUCAAGAGCAAGAACGUAGACUCGGCGGUGCACCCGACACAGAUAUCAGUGGUAAUGUCUGAGUCGUAUCACAUGUUGGAGGCGACAGGCUUUGAAGAUAACGUGACCCUGUGUGAUACAUGUGUGACACUGUACUGGCACACGGAUGUUUGUGGUCACUCACCUCGACAUUCUCCUCCGACAGCCUGAAGGUUUCACAGACGGGAAUUAAACCCUUGGCAGUUAUCGAGGCGAUGGACAAACAUUUUGGUCACGUCAGCGAAGGUAGAUGGGAAACCUGUCACCUGGAGACACACAUGACAAACGUGGACCUCAUAACCUCAGUGGAAGGUUGUUAUCAGCAAAGCAGUGAUAAAUUCAGUGAGCCAUCAAAAUCUGAUGGAUGCAGAGUUCCAGAUAAAGUUUAAAAAGCAGGAACCUCGACCACUUGAACCUCCAACGUACCCCUGAGGUUUCCCCUUUACGUAGAGCUUAAACAUUCUUUCCAAACUGGGAGACUUUGUUCUAGAUAUGUUGUUAAGUUUCCACCAAAAAAAAAAAUACAGGAAAAAGUAUCACCUUGUGUCGUGAGCUUGAAUUAAACCUACUGCACUAAAUGUACAUUGCAUUGUCCAGGAUUUUGUACAUUAUUUUCCUUUUUUGGAUUUGAUCUUGAUGCAUAGUUGAUCAAUUGAUUACACAAUUACAUGUUCAUGCAUCUCAAAUGUGAACGUUUUCUGUGUUUCUCUGUUUUGUAUGACUGUAAACUGAAUGUUUGGGAAUUUAUAGAUCAAACAAUGAAUCGAUUAAUUGUAAAUCAUCAUCGGUUGGAGGUCUAAAUUAAUAUGAGCUUUUCAUCGCUCUACAAUUGCAUCAAAUAAUAACUUUAAAUAUUUUGUGAAUGCUUUUAUAAACUAUAUCCCCUGUUAUUUGGAUUACUUGGUCCCUUCAAUAAGCUUGAGAUGUUAGAAUUUAGAACAGGAUUUGAACAAGUCACUAAUCAGGCAGAAAUGUCAAAUAUUUGCUUGUUUCAGCUUCUCAAAUGUCAGUGUUUGCUGCUUUUCUUGCUUUUAUAUCAUCGCACUGAACUCAAUAUCUUUAGGUUUGCAAAAUGAUUAAUCAUAAAAAAUAAUCAACCAAUUAAGUGACAGUGAAAUGACCAAGCAAGAUGUUGGUAUGGACUCUGGAAUUUCAUCAUUUUAUUGAUUGUAAGACUAACGAUUAUUUUCCAGAUUGAUUGCUUGGUUAAAAAAACAUCAGUGAAAAAUGCAACCCAGUUUUAACGAGACAUCAACAAAUGUCUUGUUCUGUCUGACAAACAGACCAAAACAAAAACAUAUUUAGUUCACAAAUAUAUGAAAAGCAGCAAAUCUUCACAUUUGAGAGGCUAAAAACUGGAAUUUGUUAUUAAGUGAGAUAAAUCCAAAAUCUAUGUUUGUCAUCAGUGCAUACUUACAACUGCUGCCUAUUACGUUGUUUUUAAGAUUUUAACCUGUUUUAAAGUGAAUUCAAGUCAGAUUUUACUGUAAAAACAAGGAACUGCAUCAAUAGAAAAAAAGUCUAAAUCUACAAAUGAGCUUUUACAAAUGUAUAUGUAGGCAUUUUUGCUUUCGAUAACACAGCAAGCUUCAUCUCUUGCUCCAAGAAACCUUUAACAAAGCUCUUAA